UAUUGUUUCCUUUUUGCGAUA
ensembl:piRNA 21ur-1354 ncRNA